GGGGAUUUAGCUCAGUGGUAGAGCACUUGCCUAGCAAGCGAAAGGCCUAGCCAGCGAAAGGCCCUGGGUUCGGUCCCCAGCUCCG
rfam:Rattus norvegicus chromosome 14, whole genome shotgun sequence.